CCGAGUUAUACAACUCCUCAAACCCCUGUGAACAUACCUAAACUUGUUGCCUCGGCGGGAAUCAGCCCGCUCCCUGUAAACGGGACGGCCCCGCCAGAGGACCCCUAACUCUGUUUCUAUAAUGUACUUUCUGAGUAAACAAGCAAUAAAUUCA
rnacentral:misc_RNA from 1 species